rnacentral:rRNA from 1 species
UACAGAGGGGGCAAGCGUUGUUCGGAAUUACUGGGCGUAAAGGGCGCGUAGGCGGCCUUCUAAGUCGAACGUGAAAUCCCCGGGCUCAACCCGGGAACUGCGUCCGAUACUGGAAGGCUUGAAUCCGGGAGAGGGAUGCGGAAUUCCAGGUGUAGCGGUGAAAUGCGUAGAUAUCUGGAGGAAUACCGGUGGCGAAGGCGGCAUCCUGGACCGGCAUUGACGCUGAGUGAGCGAAAGCCAGGGAAGCAAACGGG